rnacentral:miRNA from 1 species
AUACAGAUCACCUGGGGAUCUGGUUAAAAUGCAGAUACAGAUUUGAAGGCUUGAGGCGGAGCCCUAGAAUCUGUAUUUCUAAUAAGUUUCCAAAUGAUGCCAAU